UGACAUUGCAUGGGUGGUUCGUUAGUACACA
rnacentral:piRNA from 1 species